rnacentral:rRNA from 1 species
CAGGCGCGAAAACUUUACAAUGCGGGAAACCGCGAUAAGGGGACACUGAGUGCCAGCAUCAUGUGUUGGCUGUCCGCAUGUAUAAAUAACAUGUGUUAGCAAGGGCCGGGCAAGACCGGUGCCAGCCGCCGCGGUAACACCGGCGGCCCGAGUGGUGGCCAUUAUUAUUGGGUCUAAAGGGUCCGUAGCCGGUUUGAUCAGUCUUCCGGGAAAUCUGACAGCUCAACUGUUAGGCUUCUGGGGGAUACUGUCAGACUUGGAACCGGGAGAGGUAAGAGGUACUACAGGGGUAGGAGUGAAAUCUUGUAAUCCCUGUGGGACCACCAGUGGCGAAGGCGUCUUACCAGAACGGGUUCGACGGUGAGGGACGAAAGCUGGGGGCACGAACCGGAUUAGAUACCCGGGUAGUCCCAGCCGUAAACGAUGCUCGCUAGGUGUCUGGGACGGUGCGACCGUUUCAGGUGCCGCAGGGAAGCC